ACUUAAAUAAUUUAAAUUUUAAAAUAUUGAUUUGUGGGAUCAAACAUAUGAUAUUCAUUUUAAGUA
rnacentral:tRNA from 1 species